rnacentral:rRNA from 1 species
AGUGCGUAAUAGCUCACUGGUCGAGUGAAGUUGCGCGGAAAAUUACCGGGGCUAAACUAUACACCGAAAUUGCGGAUUCAUGAGUAAUCAUGAGUGGUAGAGGAGCAUUCUAUAGUAGGACGAAGGUAGAUCGAAAGGACUGCUGGACGAGAUAGAAGAGAGAAUGCCGGAAUAAGUAGCGAAAGCAUGGUGAGAAUCCAUGCCAUCGAAAGUCUAAGGUUUCCUGGGGAAGGUUCGUCCGCCCAGGGUAAGUCGGGACCUAAGGAGAGGCCGAAAGGCGUAUCUGAUGGACAGCAGGUAGAAAUUCCUGCACCACCGAUAUACUUAAAAAAUGCAAGGGACACAGUAGUGGAAGGAAAGCGAGGAAGAGGAAAGACUCGUAUCGAAAGAUAUAGUGAAAAAAUAAGUAACGAAUUUCCAAGAAGCACACUGGCGAGAAAAGCUUGUAGGAAUUGUAUAAAGGUGCCCGUACCGCAAACCGACACAGGUAGAUGAGGAGAGGAUCCUAAGAUGAGCGAGAGAAGCAUUGUUAAGGAACUCGGCAAAUUGACCCCGUAACUUAGGGAGAAGGGGUGCCAAAGUAAAAUUUGGUCGCAGAGAAGAGGCCCAAGCAACUGUUUAACAAAAACACAGGUUUCUGCUAAAUCGAAAGAUGAAGUAUAGGAGCUGACGCCUGCCCAGUGCUGGAAGGUUAAGGGGAAGAGUUAGAUGUAAGUCGAAGCUUAGAACCAAAGCCCCAGUGAACGGCGGCCGUAACUAUAACGGUCCUAAGGUAGCGAAAUUCCUUGUCAGGUAAGUUCUGACCCGCACGAAAGGCGUAAUGAUUUGGGCGCUGUCUCGACAAUGUACUCGGCGAAAUUGUAGUACUAGUGAAGAUGCUAGUUACCUGCGACAAGACAGAAAGACCCCAUGGAGCUUUACUGUAGCUUGAUACUGGGUUUCGAUAAUUUAUGUACAGGAUAGGUGGGAGGCGAAGAAGCAAUUGCGCCAGCAGUUGUGGAGUCAUCCUUGGGAUACCACCCUUAAGUUAUUGAAAUUCUAACCUGUAGUCCUGAGCGGGCUAGGGGACAAUGUCAGGCGGGCAGUUUGACUGGGGCGGUCGCCUCCAAAAGAGUAACGGAGGCGCGCAAAGGUUUCCUCAGCGCGGACAGAAAUCGCGCGAAAGAGUGCAAAGGCAGAAGGAAGCUUAACUGAGAGACUGACAAGUCGACCAGAUACGAAAGUAGGUCUUAGUGAUCCGGCGGUAGUGAGUGGAAAUGCCGUCGCUCAACGGACAAAAGUUACCCUGGGGAUAACAGGCUUAUCUCCCCCAAGAGUUCACAUCGACGGGGAGGUUUGGCACCUCGAUGUCGGCUCAUCGCAUCCUGGAGCGGAAGUACGUUCCAAGGGUUGGGCUGUUCGCCCAUUAAAGCGGUACGCGAGCUGGGUUCAGAACGUCGUGAGACAGUUCGGUCCUUAUCUGUCGCAGGCGCAGGAUAUUUGAGGGGAGUUGACCUUAGUACGAGAGGACCAGGUUGAACUUACCAAUGGUGUAUCAGUUGUCGUACCAACGGCACGGCUGAGUAGCUAAGUAGGGAAGGGAUAAACGCUGAAAGCAUCUAAGUGUGAAGCCCACCCCAAGAUAAGAUAUCCCAUACCGUAAGGUAGUAAGAUUCCACGUAGACUAUGUGGUAGAUAGGUUGGAGGUGUAAGUGCAGUAAUGCAUUAAGCUGACCAAUACUAAUAAAUCGAGGGCUUAACCA